GCAGAGCAUCCUACGGGAGGCAGCAGUGGGGAAUAUUGCACAAUGGGCGCAAGCCUGAUGCAGCCAUGCCGCGUGUAUGAAGAAGGCCUUCGGGUUGUAAAGUACUUUCAGCAGUGAGGAAGGUGGGUAUGUUAAUAGCAUAUUCAUUUGACGUUAGCUGCAGAAGAAGCACCGGCUAACUCCGUGCCAGCAGCCGCGGUAAUACGGAGGGUGCGAGCGUUAAUCGGAAUUACUGGGACGUAAAGCGCAUGCAGGUGGUUUGUUAAGUCAGAUGUGAAAGCCCGGGGCUCAACCUCGGAAUUGCAUUUGAAACUGGACAAACUAGAGUACUGUAGAGGGGGUAGAAUUUCAGGUGUAGCGGUGAAAUGCGUAGAGAUCUGAAGGAAUACCGGUGGCGAAGGCGGCCCCCUGGACAGAUACUGACACUCAGAUGCGAAAGCGUGGGGAGCAAACAGGAUUAGAUACCCUGGUAG
rnacentral:rRNA from 1 species